rnacentral:piRNA from 1 species
GAAGAGCACACACAGUCUAUCUCUAGC